rnacentral:lncRNA from 1 species
AUUCCAUGCCAUCCCUUCCAUGUAAAGAGCCUUCCUCAGGCUUCCAUCAGGAAAGGGAAUUCCUGUGACUUAGAAUAAACUGCUGACAGGAAUGCUAAGACUGAGCAAGGAUUAUAUGAAAAAUAUCUAAGGGUUUUCUUUUCCAAAAUCAAAACAUAGACCAUUCAUUUGAGUAGCAGGGGACUUCUGUCAUUCAUUGAAAGUGAUAGGAAAUGGUCCAUUGGACUCACAGGAAUACUGCUUCCUGAAAUCAAAGAGCUGGAGUAUGCAGAAGGCACUUUCCUUUCCAGCUCAGGUCUGGUCCUCUUACACCCUCAUCGAAGGCGGCCCCAGUGCUGAGGCUCUCUGCAGCCACAGACAGAGCAGAAGAGCCAAAGUCACUGACUUGGUGCCCCAGGAUGUGCUCAUCUGCUCAACUGAAACCAAUUGAUUGCUUGUCUGCUCCAUGCCAGGUCCUGUGCCAGGUGCUACAGUUACCAAGGUAGCCAAGAGACAGGCCCUGUCCUCUAGGAGAUGCAGUCUAACUGGGAAAAACUAGACCUCCUCUCAUCAUUCAUCCCAACAGUAGGCUCUGCUGUGAGCUCUCCAGGGGCACCAAUAACUGAGAGAAGAGCUUCACCGCCAAAACAGAGCAAGACAUGACAACAAACAAAUUAUAGCUACUGGAGGUAAUAAUUCAUUUUUAGGAAAAUUGCCUACCUUUCCUCACUGUCCUUGGAUUAGAUGGUCAACAUCGAAAGCAGAAAGAUGACCAAGAACCCUCUUCUGUCUACACUUUACUGUUUCUCCCUAAUAAAAUAUCUACCAAUGCAUACAAGACCCAAUUGCCAUCUUUAUCAAAGCAACAGAGGGGAAGCUGUUGCACAGCCUAACAUCCUUGGGGUAUGAUCUACCUCUUAGCCCACUUUUACCAGCGUGGCCACCCAAAGUGUGAACAUACAUGGUCGACUAAAGACGGCCACAAAUUCUUCGUACGUCCCCCAUAAGAGUGUCGUUUAUUAACUCUCCCCUUGCAUCUAGACGGGCUCUGUGACUUCCUAAAGAAUAGAAGUGACACUAUGCCAGUUCCAGGGCUAACCCUAAAGAAAGCCUGGACAUGUCCACCUUUGCUCUUUUGGGAGUCCUGAGUCAUGGUGCAAGUAAUCUGACUAUGCUGGUGGAGAGAUCUCAUGGACAGGAGAGGCCCUGAGACUACGUGGAGAGGGAGGGAGGCUCCGCCCUUCCAGCAUCCCAGUUCAGAUGACUCCAGUUCAAUUCAUCGUCUAACCACAGUCACAUGAGAGACUCCAAGUGACACAAGCAGAACUGCCCAGGCAAGCCCAGUCAACCUACAGAACCAAAUGAGAGACAAUAAAUUGGUGAUUGUUUUAGACCUAAGUUUGGGGAAUGUUCAUUACAAAACAAUAAAGAACAGAAACGAUAUACUUCUUGCAAAUCGGGAAUGGUCUUCGGAUCUCAAGAAGGUAGCCCCACCUAUUAGAAAUCUACCUCAUAUGAAAGAAAAUAACUAACACUUCCAGGUGACCGACCAG